GGUUAAGCGACUAAGCGUACACGGUGGAUGCCCUGGCAGUCAGAGGCGAUGAAGGACGUGCUAAUCUGCGAUAAGCGUCGGUAAGGUGAUAUGAACCGUUAUAACCGGCGAUUUCCGAAUGGGGAAACCCAGUGUGUUUCGACACACUAUCAUUAACUGAAUCCAUAGGUUAAUGAGGCGAACCGGGGGAACUGAAACAUCUAAGUACCCGGA
rnacentral:rRNA from 1 species